rnacentral:rRNA from 1 species
AACGAACGCUGGCGGCAUGCCUAACACAUGCAAGUCGAACGAGACCUUCGGGUCUAGUGGCGCACGGGUGCGUAACGCGUGGGAACCUGCCCUUAGGUUCGGAAUAACUCCCCGAAAGGGGUGCUAAUACCGGAUAAUGUCUUCGGACCAAAGAUUUAUCGCCUUUGGAUGGGCCCGCGUUGGAUUAGCUAGUUGGUAGGGUAAAAGCCUACCAAGGCGACGAUCCAUAGCUGGUCUGAGAGGAUGAUCAGCCACACUGGGACUGAGACACGGCCCAGACCCCUACGGGAGGCAGCAGGGGGGAAUAUGGGAAAUGGGGCGAAAGCCUGAUCCAGCAAUGCCGGGUGAGUGAUGAAGGCUUUAGGGUUGAAAAGCUCUUUUACCCGGGAUGAUAAGGACAGUACCGGGAAAAUAAGCCCCGGCAAACUCCGG